CCUACGGGUGGCAGCAGUGAGGAAUAUUGGUCAAUGGCCGGAAGGCUGAACCAGCGAAGCCGCGUGAAGGACGAAGGUGCCAAGCAUUGUAAACUUCUUUUGUCAAGGGACAAAAUCAGGCUCGAGAGCCUGACCGAGGGUACUUGAAGAAAAAGCAUCGGCUAACUCCGUGCCAGCAGCCGCGGUAAUACGGAGGAUGCGAGCGUUAACCGGAUUUAUGGGGGUAAAGGGGUGCGUAGGCGGACUGUUAAGUCCGCGGUAAAAGGCCGGGGCUCAACCCCGGCGAGCCGUUGAAACUGGGUGUCUUGAGAUGUCGAGAGGUAUGCGGAAUGCGCAGUGUAGCGGUGAAAUGCUUAGAUAUUGCGCAGAACUCCGAUUGCGAAGGCAGCAUACCGGCGGCGAUCUGACGCUGAGGCACGAAAGCGUGGGUAUCGAACAGGAUUAGAUACCCUUGUAGUC
rnacentral:rRNA from 1 species